AUGGACGAAGCGCAGGACGCGCAAAGUACAUCACAAGGACGGAACGAAGGAAGCCUGCCCGGGACGGUGGGACGAAAGGGAAGUCAAAGGGAAACAGUCUGAGAAAACCUCGCUUCGGCGGGGUUUU
rnacentral:sRNA from 1 species